GAGCCUGAGAAACGGCUACCACAUCCAAGGAUGGCAGCAGGCGCGCAAAUUACCCAAUCCCGACACGGGGAGGUAGUGACAAUAAAUAACAAUACGGGGUUCUUUAGGAUCUCGUAAUUGGAAUGAGUACAAUUUAAAUCUCUUAACGAGGAACAAUUGGAGGGCAAGUCUGGUGCCAGCAGCCGCGGUAAUUCCAGCUCCAAUAGCGUAUAUUAAAGUUGUUGCAGUUAAAAAGCUCGUAGUUGAAUUUCGGGGUUAGUAGGUUGGUCAUGCCUCUGGUAUGUACUGGUCUCACUGAUUCCUCCUUCCUUAUGAACCGUAAUGCCAUUAAUUUGGUGUUGCGGGGAAUUUGGACUGUUACUUUGAAAAAAUUAGAGUGUUUAAAGCAAGCUAACGCUUGAAUACAUUAGCAUGGAAUAAUGAAAUAGGACGUUCGAUCUUAUUUUGUUGGUUUCUAGGAUUGACGUAAUGAUUAAUAGGGAUAGUUGGGGGCAUUAGUAUUCAAUUGUCAGAGGUGAAAUUCUUGGAUUUAUUGAAGACUAACUACUGCGAAAGCAUUUGCCAAGGAUGUUUUCAUUAAUCAAGAACGAAAGUUAGGGGAUCGAAGACGAUCAGAUACCGUCGUAGUCUUAACCAUAAACUAUGCCGACUAGGGAUCGGAUGAUGUUAAUUUUUUAAUGACUCAUUCGGCGCCUUACGGGAAAC
rnacentral:rRNA from 1 species